rnacentral:tRNA from 1 species
AGCCCUGUAGUACAGCGGUCAAGUAUCUAGCCCUUUGGAGGCUGGGACCCAGGUUCGAAUCCUGGCAGGGCUA